rnacentral:rRNA from 1 species
AGUGAACGCUGGCGGUAGGCCUAACACAUGCAAGUCGAACGGCAGCACAGUAAGAGCUUGCUCUUACGGGUGGCGAGUGGCGGACGGGUGAGGAAUACAUCGGAAUCUACUUUUUCGUGGGGGAUAACGUAGGGAAACUUACGCUAAUACCGCAUACGACCUACGGGUGAAAGCAGGGGAUCUUCGGACCUUGCGCGAUUGAAUGAGCCGAUGUCGGAUUAGCUAGUUGGCGGGGUAAAGGCCCACCAAGGCGACGAUCCGUAGCUGGUCUGAGAGGAUGAUCAGCCACACUGGAACUGAGACACGGUCCAGACUCCUACGGGAGGCAGCAGUGGGGAAUAUUGGACAAUGGGCGCAAGCCUGAUCCAGCCAUACCGCGUGGGUGAAGAAGGUCUUCGGGUUGUAAAGCCCUUUUGUUGGGAAAGAAAAGCAGCAGGUUGAUACCCCGCUGUUCUGACGGUACCCAAAGAAUAAGCACCGGCUAACUUCGUG